GAUGAACGCUGGCGGCGUGCCUAAUACAUGCAAGUCGAGCGAACAGACGAGGAGCUUGCUCCUCUGACGUUAGCGGCGGACGGGUGAGUAACACGUGGAUAACCUACCUAUAAGACUGGGAUAACUUCGGGAAACCGGAGCUAAUACCGGAUAAUAUAUUGAACCGCAUGGUUCAAUAGUGAAAGACGGUUUUGCUGUCACUUAUAGAUGGAUCCGCGCCGCAUUAGCUAGUUGGUAAGGUAACGGCUUACCAAGGCAACGAGGCGUAGCCGACCUGAGAGGGUGGUCGGCCACACUGGAACUGGGACACGGACCAGACUCCUACGGGAGGCAGCAGUAGGGAAUCUUCCGCAAUGGGCGAAAGCCUGACGGAGCAACGCCGCGUGAGUGAUGAAGGUCUUCGGAUCGUAAAACUCUGUUAUUGGGGAAGAACAAAUGUGUAAGUAACUAUGCACGUCUUGACGGUACCUAAUCAGAAAGCCACGGCUAACUACGUG
rnacentral:rRNA from 1 species